ACCUCAGCUCAAGCAAGAAAACCCGCUGAACUUAAGCAUAUCAAUAAGCGGAGGAAAAGAAACUAACAAGGAUUCCCCUAGUAACGGCGAGUGAAGAGGGAAAAGCUCAAAUUUUAAAUCUACCUGGUUCCCAGGUCGAAUUGUAUUUUGAAGAAGCGAUAUCGGUGUUGAGGUCUGGUUCAAGUUCUUUGGAACAAGACAUCAUGGAGGGUGAGAAUCCCGUGCAUGAUCAGACCAAAAUACUUAAUAUUCGUUUUCUAAGAGUCGAGUUGUUUGGGAAUGCAGCUCAAAUUGGGUGGUAGACUUCACCUAAGGCUAAAUAUCAGCGAGAGACCGAUAGCGAACAAGUACUGUGAAGGAAAGAUGAAAAGCACUUUGAAAAGAGAGUUAAAUAGUACGUGAAAUUGUUGAAAGGGAAACGAUUGAAGUCAGUCAUGCUAGUGAAAAUUCAGUUUGACGGGUUUUGGGUUUGGGAGUAAGAGGUAGGGUCAAACCGUCUCUCUUUUAAACUUGGGAUUUGUCGGAUGCACUUUUUCUUUGGCAGGUCAGCGUCGAUUUCAGAGGUUGUAAAAUACUUGGGGGAAAGUAGCUCUGCUUCGGGAGAGUGUUAUAGAUCCUGGGGGAUGCAACCUGUGGGAUCGAGGAUUGCAGCAAAUGCCUUUGGCUUGUCGCCUGAUCUCUGGUUGUUACCUCAUUUAUGACAACAUUCUUGUCAUCGAUGAGUGCUAAUGGCUAUUAGGUUAGAACGAUCAAAAAUUUGCUAAGGAUGCUGGCGUAAUGGCUUUAAACGACCCGUCUUGAAACACGGACCA
rnacentral:rRNA from 1 species